UGUUGUGGUAAAGGCGACCUUCCGGUUAUGGCUGACGAUGACGACGACGACGGCGACGACGACGAAUCGCAAAUACGAGUCAACGAGCAACAACGAACACUUGUUCGGCUCAGCAACGAUGACGGCGACCUUCCUAUGGUCGGUCACUUGCUCUUUUUUUUCUCUCUCUCUCUGUCUCUCUCUCUUUGGUAGCCUCUCACAACUUAGCGGAAAAUGUCGGUAAACAGUGCAACCGGUUUUCAAUUACGCACAUAUAGCAGUGGGGGCCAUGCACAGUGAUACAAACAUUCACUAAUUAUCGAAUGCAAUAUUUUCGUUGGUUUUAGCGGCAAUUUAAUUGAAUUAAAUUUCAUUUGAUUUAAAUCUAUUUGUUCCUCAGCUUCUUUGUACUAAAUUAAAUAUCAAUAUUAACUAUAUAUUACGCUCGUAAAGCCCCUGAAGUUCUAUGUUAAUUUGAAUAUUUGAAUAUAUAAUAAACAUCACCAUUCUAUUUUCUAGAGCCCUGUUCAAUAUCGAAUUACAUCUAUAAAUUAUGUCAUAUAUUAUACCCUUUUAAACCAGUAAUAUUUCUGAAGAUGUAGAUUAAUUUUCAUAUUUAGUCAAUAUAUAAUUUACAUAACUAUUACGUUUGUGUCACCAUUGCUUGUUUAAUAGCUAAUCUAAUCAAUGGUCAGUCACAUAUAUUUCAGAUAUCAGGCAUUAAAUACCAAAAAUUAUUUUAGUUUGUAUCAUUUUAAUUUUGGAAUUUAGGUAAAAUAUAGAAUUUCCCAUUCAAAAUUUAAUCUAAUAAAAACAAUAUUAAGCAAUCACAAUUUCGAUUUGAAGAAAUUCAAGCAAAUAAUGUUUAAUCUGGUCCCACUGUCGUGUACUACUACUACUGCGAGAGCGUGAAAAAGCUUUACUCGCUGACUCAAAAGUGCGCUCCCACAUUGUGCUGCAGCGUCGUCGCUCGUUUCGUUUUACUAGGCUAAUCAUCUGUUCUGGUUUCGGAUUUGUGCUGUCUCCCGUUGCGCGCUGUAUGCCUGUGUGUGUGUGCGUGUGGCUGUGUGCAUGGGAGUUGUUGGUGUUGCUGUUUGAGCAUUCGCAUUCAUUCAACGACAGCGCCGCCGAUGACGACGCCACCGCCACCGACACUGAUUUGAGAGCUUUGCAAUUUUGUCGGCCGCUCUUGUCGUUGUUUUUCUUCGGGUUUCGGUAUUUUUUUUUUUUCAUGCUUGGUGUGUGAGUUUGUCUGUGUUUAUGUGUUUCUGUGCUGGUGUGUGUAAGAAAUAUUUCACACGCUGCUUUGGCUGGGCAAGCAAAGCACUUGACUGUUGAGUGGCGGUUGCUGUUGUUGCUGCCCGCUCGCUGCCUGCUCUCGGCGGGCUGUUGUUGGAAUAUUGUUGACUGCCUGCUGUUGGGGUUCGUUGCCGUUGGUUGUGUUAUCAUUUCAGUUGCUGGCUGGCUGGCUGCAUGGCUUGUCGCUUGCACGCGCAGCUCCGGGACUCCACCGAUUAUUGGGUGUGUGUGUAUGUCUGGCCCGAGUCUGGGGCGGCGACAGCGGCAACGACAACGUCGGCGAUUGUAAUCGGUUUCAGUUCAUUUUCAUUUAAAUGGAAUUAAAUAUGCUCAUCGUUAACAGCUGCUCUUAACAUUUAUUUUUGCACAGUUGAAAAUUGAAAUGCUUAACAAGUAAGUCGAAAGUGCUCUUUAAUGGAGACCAAUUCGACGCUUAUAAUAAUAAAGCAGUGCGCAACACAAUAUUUGCCUACACACGGUUUAUGAGCACAAUUUUGUUGUGCGGCGCGUAUGCCAACUGCUGGGUGCUGAGAAAAGGCGAGCAGGCAAACUCUACCGCAAUAAACGAAAUGCGAAUAACCACCACAGCUAGUCUGAGCUACCCCGCUGAGCGGAACAACCGAGCAGAAUCAGCAAUAGACUAAGGUGGAAUACAAAUGGCGAAUUCACAUACACAUACAUGUGUACGAAUGCUGAGUAUAAGUAUGUACAUAUGUGUAUGUGGGCAAAUUGCGACACAUUUUAAAGCACAACAAAAAUUUGUCAUAGCCAUAGUACAUACAAACACAUGUAUGUCUGUGGGAAUAAUUAAACCUUUGAUAUUUACAAUGAAUUCGAAUCAUUUUCAAUUAAAUAUGCAUUUGUUUAGUUAACUUGUAUUGCUUUUGACAGUAAUCCAGAUUAUGCUCUAAAUUACGCUUUAACUGUAAUUAUAUUUAAAGCUUCACGCAUAUAAAAAACAGCAAAGUAAAUAUACAUACAUACAUACAUAUGUAUGUACAUGUGUACAAAGUUUAGUUUUUCUGUGUCAAAUGCUAAUUUCGUAUGCAGAAAAAAAAAUAUAUAGACAUACAUAUAUAUGUAUAUAUAUAUAACAUUUCUAUCUAAAAUAGACUAAAGCACUAUAUUUAAGCUUAGCUGAAUUUAAAUACCAUGGGAAAAUACGUUAUGCAUACACAUGUAGGCAUGUAUGUACACAGACUCUGUAAGUAUGUGUAUAUGGUAAUGAAUUUACAUACAUUAUUAUAUAAACAUAUGUAAAUUUAACAUAAAGUCUUGCGGUUUACACACUUGGCCAAUCUUUUGCUGUACACACAUCAAAACUAAGCUUCACAUUACAAAUUAGCGCCCCCAAGCGGCCUGUAAAACAAUAAACAACCGCAGACCCGCA